CCUUCGAUAGCUCAGUUGGCAGAGCGGGGGACUGUAGAUCCCUAGGUCACCGGUUGAAAUCCGGCUCGAAGGA
rnacentral:tRNA from 1 species